rnacentral:rRNA from 1 species
CCCUUAGAUGUUCUGGGCCGCACGCGCGCUACACUGAUGCAUUCAACGAGUCUAAAACCUGCUCUGAUAGGGGUGGGUAAUCUUUUGAAUGUGCAUCGUGAUUGGGAUAGAUGAUUGCAAUUUUUCAUCUUCAACGAGGAAUGCCUAGUAAACGCAAGUCAUCAGCUUGCAUAGAUUACGUCCCUGCCCUUUGUACACACCGCCCGUCGCUCCUACCGAUUGAAUGAUCCGAUGAAUAUCAUGGAUUGAGGAUGCAAGUAGGUUCGCCUAUCUUCAUCUUCGAGAAGUGAAGUAAAUCUUAUCAUUUAGAGGAAGGAGAAGUCGUAACA